GAUGAACGCUGGCGGCGUGCCUAAUACAUGCAAGUCGAGCGAACAGACGAGGAGCUUGCUCCUCUGACGUUAGCGGCGGACGGGUGAGUAACACGUGGAUAACCUACCUCUAAGACUGGUAUAACUUCGGGAAACCGGAGCUAAUACCGGAUAAUAUAUUGAACCGCAUGGUUCAAUAGUGAAAGACGGUUUUGCUGUCACUUAUAGAUGGCUCCGCGCCGCAUUAGCUAGUUGGUAAGGUAACGGCUUACCAAGGCAACGAUGCGUAGCCGACCUGAGAGGGUGGUCGGCUACACUGGAACUGAGACACGGUCCAGACUCCUACGGGAGGCAGCAGUAGGGAAUCUUCCGCAAUGGGCGAAAGCCUGACGGAGCAACGCCGCGGGAGUGAUGAAGGUCUUCGGAUCGUAAAACUCUGUUAGUAGGGAAGAACAAAUGUGUAAGUAACUAUGCACGUCUUGACGGUACCUAAUCAGAAAGCCACGGCUAACUACGUG
rnacentral:rRNA from 1 species